rnacentral:misc_RNA from 1 species
GAUGAAGAACGCAGCGAAAUGCGAUAAGUAAUGUGAAUUGCAGAAUUCAGUGAAUCAUCGAAUCAUUGAACGCACAUUGCGCCCGCCAGUAUUCUGGCGGGCAUGCCUGUUCGAGCGUCAUUACAACCCUCAGGCCCCCGGGCCUGGCGUUGGGGAUCGGCGGAGCCCCCCGUGGGCACACGCCGUCCCCCAAAUACAGUGGCGGUCCCGCCGCAGCUUCCAUCGCGUAGUAGCUAACACCUCGCGACUGGAGAGCGGCGCGGCCACGCCGUAAAACACCCAACUCUUCUGAAGUUGACCUCGAAUCAGGUAGGAAUACCCGCUGAACUUAAGCAUAUCAAUAAGCGGAGGA